CAAUACAAGUGGGAAAGCUGUGUGUUGGUGAAAACGGAGAACGCAGCACGUUGUCAUCGAGCAGACGGUCAUGAACCUGCGAUAUGAGCGAGGAUGGGUGCAGAAUGAGCCCAGCCUACUUGGGCGUCUUGAUGCCGGGUGCAAGGAGUGGGAGAGGCAGCUCAGAGACAUGCAGAGGAACAUAGAGGAGCUUUAUCAGGAAGUGAAGGCUCGUCGAGAGGAAACUGAGGCUGGAUUGGACGGGAAGACAGACCCCUGGCUUCCUACAUCUAGCCAACGUUCCAAAGGCUCAUCUAAGCACUUCAGUCAUCGCAGUAGUGACCACUGUUACUCUCCCCAUCACCAGAGCUAUGGAAAUGGUGACUCAUUUCGUCACUAUAGUAAUGGCCACUGUGACUCAGCCAACCACCUUACUAACGGCAGCAGGGACCAUCCAGUUUGCCAAGGCCACAGUGCUAAUAAGCUGUUGAGUCAGCGUAGAAAUGGCUGGAACAGUAGUCAUGGUUAUGGUAACCCAAUGAAAUACAACAGCAAUGGCUCCAGUUCCCACGCUGAUCACAGCAGAGAUGCUGGACAGGACUCGGCCAUGAGGGAAUUGGAAGACAUCCUUAAUUUCUGUCUGGGACAGGCUGUUGAGUACAUGAAUUCCCCGGCCACGCUGCAGACCCCCGACAGUUCCGUUGCCAACCUCCAUGGCAACCAAUCCACCACCACGUCUGAGCAAAAGAAAAACACCCCACUCAACACUACACUGGAUGGACGCACCCAAAUGAGUGAGCAGUUUAAUAGAUGCCCCGAUACAAUGUGGAAAAAGUCUGGCGACAAAAGGGAUAAAACGUUUUCAGUGAAAGCCAGCGAAGGAUGCGAAGAAGCAGAGAACAGGAAGAACAAAGUGUUUUACUCAGGAUAUGAGUGGUACAACAACUCCAGCGAUCCCACCAAGGUGGAUCAAAGGUUCAGAGCUUCUCCAACGAAUGCAGAUGCCCCACCCAUUCCUCCUCGUACCACUUCGUGGCACCGCAAUAGCUUGACAACGGCAGAUCCAGAAUUUCCAGCUUCCACCCCUGAGCGGAAGUGCGUCAGCCCCUCUGUGCUCCGGAAAUUCGGAGCAAUGCUUAAAGAAAAUGAGGGCAAGACGCUGAUGGACUCUGGCCUGGUGGUCACCACAGUGGCGUCUGCCAGCGCAAAACGAAUGAGCUCAACUCCUGGCAAGUUUAAUAUCAAUAAGUUGCCUUCGCUUUUGCCAGUGUCGAAAUGCACUUCACAUAACAGGGCUGAAAGGGAGCAGUUGCACCCAGCUGAAAGAGACUUUGUGGGGAAGAUCUGCUUGGGUUCCACGCUUGGCACAGCGCCUUCUUCCUGCUCUGACCGGGAAAGCCCUCUGACGCGGAGUUCAUCCCAGUGCCCGGCUCCGAACGUGCAGUGUCAUGAUGACAUCAUCACGCUCAUAAACACGUUAGAGCUUGAGCAGCAGUCAUCGACCCCUCCGAAAGUUUGGAGUUCGAACCGAGCUCAGGUUGUGCUGCAGGAGACCAGCUUGCCAUCCUCCAUGUCCACCACAAGGCCUUUCUCCCGCCCUGCCCGUCCGGCGAAGCGACGCCCACCGUCCCGCUGGGCCGCCCGCAUCCCCAGCAUCACUGCCACCGGCACUCCUGCAGAGAUCCAGACGUCUUGCUCAUUCUCCAGCCAAAUGGAGACAGUCAUCAUGUGACAGGACUGCAUGGGACACCCUCCGUUUGUCCCCUCUGUAAAUAAGUGAGACGAGUAUUUCGGGCCAGCUGGAUAGCGCUUUAGGAAUGUACUAAGAAUGUACCCGGCGUAUUUUAAGAGUGCAGUGCAUUACGUAGAAGAGAUAGUACGCACCUCCCUGUCGUUGCCUGCGUUUCCGUACUUUUAACUCUAUGCUUGACUCCUAAAAUUGCCACAUUUUCUGAGUGCUGUAUUAUAUGCUGUGAUGGUUCCCCUCAUGACAUCAUCUUAGUGGAGUAGGAAGCAUGUUGGUUAUUUCUUCUUACAAAGGCUUAUUUCACUUUUAUUUUAAACCUUCAAUUAAAGUUUGUGAUGCCCUUAAAUUUCGUGAAGUGAAAUGUUAGUGAAAUGCAGUAAUGUACAGAAGAAACUGUUGAAGAAUUCUGUUUCUUUAAACGUAUUUAUGUGAUUCGAAACCAUUUCAAAGUACAUUUAUUAAUUUAGUUCAUGCUUUCCUUCAAGGCAACUUACAAUUAUUUACCUACUUAUAGAGCUAGGCAAUUUUACUAGAGCAAUUUAGGGCAAGUAACUUGCCUAAGGAUACUACAGCUAGACUGGGGAUCAAACCUGCAACCUUUAGGGCUAAAGGCAUCAGCUAACCACUACACUACCUUCCCUAACUUAUUUUACAUGGUUGUACCUAACCGUAGUUAUACUUUAUGCAGAGUUUGCUUGCAGAGUUGACUUGUAUUUCUGCAGUUGGCAUACUAAAGGCAUAUACCACUAAAGACUUGACCUUAAAGUUGCAAAAUUUCCUAGAGUACAGUAAUUACAGGUGGUAAAACUUUGAAAUUAGUUCUGAUUGAGCACAUUGUCUUCUAACACAUGUGCAAUUACACCUUCAGCAUGUGGCAGCUGAGUAAAUAAUCACUCAGCCAAGAUGUCUGAAGAUGAGCUUUUCAUCUGCUCUUCCACCUCCCCGUCAAACAUCCGCCAGGGCAACCAAAAUAGCAGCCGGGUGCCAGAAAUCUUACCCUGCUCGUCCUUUUGACCCUGAAGUCCUUGGCCCAUGUUUAUUUUUUGUUGUUGUUGCUAGAUAUUUACGUUUGUGUAUCUGCAAUGAAUUGAAGGAAAUGCACUCGGGCUCCCCCUCAAGGCUGGACAGUCUUCUGCUUCAUAAACCAUUUUUAUACUUGACCUCUGGAAGAACAUGGCUAACCAGCUGAAGUGGUAGUAUUAAAAGAAAUCCUAAUAACUCUCCUUGAGUUAAAAUAAUUCCUGCUGACUGCUGACCAGUGGCACUCCAAUCUGAGGGAUGCAUUCCUGCUUGGAGACUACAGUUACCCGAUAACAUCAUCCCAGAAGCACAGAUGGAGUUUUUCAAGAUUUACACAAAAUGUUCAUGGAAUAAAAUACACUAAAAUCUGUUUGGUCCCCUUUUU
rnacentral:lncRNA from 1 species